CAUACUCUUUUAACCCAGCUGUUUAUCUACAGAGUGAAAUAUCUGAGACUGCCACAGAGGUAAUUCAUAAGAUAUGAUUCUGUUCUUCUCAUUGUGUUUCAGGAUCUUUAAAGCUCAACUGCUAUAUUAAAAUAGGAGACAAGGUCUGUGUGAAGCCAUCUGUAGAAAAACACCCAAAUAUCUCUGCGGUUCAGUCAGCCAUAAAAGCAUUGGCAGUGUCAUAAAUGUGCAGGGUGAGACUGUGACAGUAAAUUUCCCUGAGCAGGAAGGUUGGAUUGGUGACGUUUCUGAAAUGGAGCUUGUAGUCAGUGCUGAUUUAGGGUUCUCCAGUCAUGCCUACUUCAAGACAGGAAACAGAGUCAGUGUGAAAUCUUCAGUGAAAGAUCCAAAACAUGGAUGGGGAUCAGUCACUCACAACAGCAUCGGUGUCAUUAAAAGAAUUCAGGGCGAGUCUUUGACUGUGGAAUUCCCUGAGCAGACGGAUUGGACUGGUAUCGCUUCAGAAAUGGAACUCAUAAACUGUGAUGUUUCAG